UAUCUUGUGGAGCUCUCGCGGACAACUCGUGAACUGCCUCUUUUAUCCGGGGCGCAAUUGAGUCAACGGCCUUUCGAAAGAAGUAACGGUAUACGAUUAUUACUCCUACCGAGUCUAUACUCACGAAACUGAAACAUUCGCACCAGCCGACUUCAGCCACCUUGAACGCUCGCAACCACGCGUUCGAUAUUGCUAUGAUACUCACGGAGUAGUAUAAAGCGAAAGGGGAAAUGCUCUCUAACUGUGCGGAAAAAAAGAGAAAUCGACGCCCAGAUGAGAGAUCGAUGUCCUAUAAAGAGAAAUAUCUGCACCUCGAUGAACCUUGUAAACUAAACACUUUCCAUCGUCAGUCAAUGAUACGAACGCUUCGAUAAUCCUGCACGUCCUUUUGGCCAAGAAGCGAGCUCACCUCUCCUCGGCGAGACGAACAACGCAUUCCAAGAGGUCGUACGCCGACGAUCUGCAUUCGCAGAAAAGGACGAAGAAGCCAAGGAAGCGAGCAAAACGAAUUAGCAUCUCGAUCGCCCAGAGACUUCUCUUCCUAUCUCUCUCAUCUUUGCUUUCUCUUUCUCUCUUUCUCUCCCUUCUUUUUUUGUUUGUUUUUUUUCACGAUGUACUCUACUCCCCAACUCUUUCUUCCGACUAUACGGUGCAGUACGCAUUUUCUUACGCGUAUGCACAAACAACGAGCAAAAGCUAAGGCAUAGUCUGCACAUGCAGUUUUAACGACAUAAAUCAAUGAUCUUUCAAUGGCUCGCAAACGACUUCUAUAGAUGAUAAUAAUACGAAUCCAUUUCAUUCAAUAAAUAUCUAUAAAUAGGGGUUGCUUUGUAAGAUGCUUUGUAAAUUUUUAAAUUUCGUUUUGAAGUGAUUGCUAUGAAUAUUGAUAUUUUUAAUAAAAUAUUUGUCAUUGAUGAUUUAAUAUAAUGAUGUUAGAAAUUUUCGUUCAGAUUAAUUUGCUUUAGAUAAUAUUCAAUUAGUAUUUUAUAAGGAUAAAAAUUAAUAAUUUUGAAUGUGUGCUUCAAUAUUCAAUCAUUGAUAAGAUUGAGAACUUUGAACUGAUUUAUUUUAUUUUUGAUUGAUAUUUAAUUGACAUUAUUGAUUUAAUUCUUUGUCUCAUUUAAUUUGUUAUUUUAUUUUAUUAAUUAUUAAUAUAAAAUGAAGAUUUAAAAUAGUUAUAUUAUAAUAGUUAUAAUUAAAUUAAAUUGUUAGUUAAAAAUGUUAAAAAAGUUAUAAUUUAUAAU